rnacentral:misc_RNA from 1 species
GAUGAAGAACGUAGCGAAAUGCGAUAAGUAGUGUGAAUUGCAGAAUUCAGUGAAUCAUCGAAUCUUUGAACGCACAUUGCGCCCCUUGGUAUUCCAUGGGGCAUGCCUGUUCGAGCGUCAUUUGUACCUUCAAGCUUUGCUUGGUGUUGGGUGUUUGUCCUGAGGGACUCGCCUUAAAGUAAUUGGCAGCCAGUGUUUGGUUUUGAAGCGCAGCACAAGUCGCGAUUCAAAGCUAUACGCCCGCUUCCACAAGCCUUUUUCACUUUUGACCUCGGAUCAGGUAGGGAUACCCGCUGAACUUAAGUAUAUCAAUAAGCGGAGGA